rnacentral:rRNA from 1 species
GCCAGCAUUAAGUUGGGCACUCUAGAGAGUCUGCCUGGGUUAACCAGGAGGAAGGUGGGGAUGACGUCAAGUCCUCAUGGCCCUUAUGUCCAGGGCUACACACGUAAUACAAUGGUGCAAACAGAGGGACGCAAGCAUGCUAGUGUUAGCAAAUCUCAAAAAGUGCAUCUCAGUCCGGAUUGGAGUCUGCAACUCGACUCCAUGAAGUUGGAAUCGCUAGUAAUCGCAGAUCAGCACGCUGCGGUGAAUACGUUCCCGGGCCUUGUACACACCGCCCGUCACACCAU